rnacentral:rRNA from 1 species
CCUACGGGUGGCUGCAGUGGGGAAUAUUGGACAAUGGGCGAAAGCCUGAUCCAGCCAUGCCGCGUGUGUGAAGAAGGCCUUCGGGUUGUAAAGCACUUUCAGUGGGGAAGAAAGCCUUGGGGCUAAUACCCUCGAGGAAGGACAUCACCCACAGAAGAAGCACCGGCUAACUCCGUGCCAGCAGCCGCGGUAAUACGGAGGGUGCGAGCGUUAAUCGGAAUUACUGGGCGUAAAGCGCGCGUAGGCGGUCUGAUAAGCCGGUUGUGAAAGCCCCGGGCUCAACCUGGGAACGGCAUCCGGAACUGUCAGGCUAGAGUGCAUGAGAGGAAGGUAGAAUUCCCGGUGUAGCGGUGAAAUGCGUAGAGAUCGGGAGGAAUACCAGUGGCGAAGGCGGCCUUCUGGACUGACACUGACGCUGAGGUGCGAAAGCGUGGGUAGCAAACAGGAUUAGAUACCCGUGUAGUC